AAAAAUGCCUGUACCAUAACCGACACAGGUGGGUAGGUAGAGUAUACUAAGGGGCGCGAGAUAACUCUCUCUAAGGAAUUCGGCAAAAUGACUCCGUAACUUCGGGAGAAGGAGUGCCUUAUUCUAUAAGGUUGCAAUAACAAGAUCCAAGCAACUGUUUAUCAAAAACACAGGUCUCCGCUAAGUCGUAAGACGAAGUAUGGGGGCUGACGCCUGCCCAGUGCCAGAAGGUUAAAGAAGUUGGUUAGUGUAAACAAGCUGAUAACUGAAGCCCUGGUGAACGGCGGCCGUAACAAUAACGGUCCUAAGGUAGCGAAAUUCCUUGUCGGGUAAGUUCCGACCCGCACGAAAGGCGUAAUGAUUUGGAUACUGUCUCGGAGAGAGGCUCGGUGAAAUAGACUUGUCUGUGAAGAUGCGGACUACCUGCACCAGGACAGAAAGACCCUAUGAAGCUUUACUGUAACUUGAAAUUGGAAUUGGACUUUAUUCGCGCAGCAUAGGUGGGAGACAUUGAAGAUAUUCUUGCGGGAGUAUCCGAGUCAUUAGUGAGAUACCACUCUUGUAAUGUUAGAUUUCUAACUUUGAACCAUUAUCUGGUCAAAGAACAGUUUCAGGCGGGCAGUUUGACUGGGGCGGUCGCCUCCCAAAUGGUAACGGAGGCGUACAAAGGUUUCCUCUGAACGGGUAGAAAUCGUAUCUAGAGUGUAAAGGCAUAAGGAAGCUUGACUGUGAGACCUAUAAGUCGAGCAGGGACGAAAGUCGGUCUUAGUGAUCUGACGGUACUGAGUGGAAAGGCCGUCACUCAACGGAUAAAAGUUACUCUAAGGAUAACAGGCUGAUCUCCCCCAAGAGUUCACAUCGACGGGGAGGUUUGGCACCUCGAUGUCGGCUCAUCGCAUCCUGGGGCGGUAGUACGUCCCAAGGGUUGGGCUGUUCGCCCAUGAAAGCGGUACGCGAGCUGGGUUCAGAACGUCGUGAGACAGUUCGGUCCAUAUCCGGUGUAGGCGUUAGAAUAUUGAGAGGAGCCUUCUUUAGUACGAGAGGACCGAGAAGGACAUACCGCUGGUGUACCAGUUAUCGUGCCAACGGUAAACGCUGGGUAGCUAUGUAUGGAGUGGAUAACCGCUGAAAGCAUCUAAGUGGGAAGCCCACCUCAAGAUGAGUAUUCUCAUCACGUUAGUGAGUAAGGUCACGGUAAGACUAACCGUUUGAUAGGCAUUAAGUGUAAAUACAGUAAUGUAUGUGCUAAGAUGUCCUAACAGACCGAGGAC
rnacentral:rRNA from 1 species